rnacentral:tRNA from 1 species
UGGGGUGUAGCCAAGUGGCAAGGCACCGGAUUUUGAUUCCGGCAUUCCCAGGUUCGAGUCCUGGCACCCCAGCCA